ensembl:snRNA U4 U4 spliceosomal RNA
AGCUUUAUGCAGUGGCAGUAUCAUAGCCAAUGAAUUGAUCUAAGGCAUGAUUAUUGCUAAUUCAACGUAAGCUUUGAACACCUAUAUAUGGGGAAUGGUACAGGUAGAACUCAAAACCUAGAGUAGAUAUUGGGCUUGGGACAAACUUUAGGAAGAUUUGCUACAAACUUUAGAAAUAUAUAGAAUAU